rnacentral:rRNA from 1 species
ACUCCUACGGGAGGCAGCAGUUUCGAAUCAUUCACAAUGGGCGAAAGCCUGAUGGUGCGACGCCGCGUGAGGGAUGAAGGCCUUCGGGUUGUAAACCUCUGUCACUGGGGAAGAAACGCUAUGGUUUAAUAGACCAUAGCCUGACUUAACCCGGAGAGGAAGCAGUGGCUAACUGCUGUGCACAGCAGCCGCGGUAAU